CUUUCACCGGAGCUUGCUCCACCGAAAGAAAAAGAGUGGCGAACGGGUGAGUAACACGUGGGUAACCUGCCCAUCAGAAGGGGAUAACACUUGGAAACAGGUGCUAAUACCGUAUAACACUAUUUUCCGCAUGGAAGAAAGUUGAAAGGCGCUUUUGCGUCACUGAUGGAUGGACCCGCGGUGCAUUAGCUAGUUGGUGAGGUAACGGCUCACCAAGGCAACGAUGCAUAGCCGACCUGAGAGGGUGAUCGGCCACACUGGGACUGAGACACGGCCCAGACUCCUACGGGAGGCAGCAGUAGGGAAUCUUCGGCAAUGGACGAAAGUCUGACCGAGCAACGCCGCGUGAGUGAAGAAGGUUUUCGGAUCGUAAAACUCUGUUGUUAGAGAAGAACAAGGAUGAGAGUAAAACGUUCAUCCCUUGACGGUAUCUAACCAGAAAGCCACGGCUAACUACGUGCCAGCAGCCGCGGUAAUACGUAGGUGGCAAGCGUUGUCCGGAUUUAUUGGGCGUAAAGCGAGCGCAGGCGGUUUCUUAAGUCUGAUGUGAAAGCCCCCGGCUCAACCGGGGAGGGUCAUUGGAAACUGGGAGACUUGAGUGCAGAAGAGGAGAGUGGAAUUCCAUGUGUA
rnacentral:rRNA from 1 species